rnacentral:tRNA from 1 species
UUUUUUAUAGUGUAAAAAACACGCUACAUUUUCAUUGUAGAAUUAAAGGACUCUUUUAAAAAAC